GCACCUGGGUGGCUCAGUCUGUUGAGCGUCCGACUUCGGCUCAGGUCAUGAUCUCACAGUCUGUGAGUUCGAGCCCUGCAUCAGGCUCUGUGCUGAUGGCUCAGAGCCUGGAGCCUGCUUCUGAUUCUGUGUCUCCCUCUCUCUCUGCCCCUUCCCUGCUCAUGCUCUGUCUCCCUCUGUCUCAAAAAUAAAUAAAAACAUUAAGAAAAAAAAUUAAAAAAAAAAAAAAAAGAUCCUGAACAAUGCCACCCUCCUACCAGAACCAGGCAGCCAUGUGAUAUCAAUGUAGUGGCAUUCUUCAUGUGGUGGGGGGCACAUAGACAGUGGGGGUCAAGGAAAACCAGAUCAGAGGCUCCAGGUAGCAGUGCUGGAGGAAGUAAGAAGGGGCCAGAUUCUGAGCAUAUUUCGAAGUUAAGGCUACUAGGAGGCCCUGCUAAGGGACCAGAUGUGGGAUGUGAAAGAGGGACAUCAGGAAGACCUCCAAGAUUUUCGUUCUGAGCCCCUGAAGACCGAAAGUGCUCAUUUACUCAUACAAAGAUCUGAAUCUUCUCACCAGGGAUGUUUCUGAUGUAUUGCCCUCCCCCCACCCUAGCUCCACCUCCUGCCGCCUGGGUUAAGGCUGGCUUCAGGCUGGCUUCUGAGUGACACCGCCUCAGACUUGGAUCUUGGCCUUGCUUCUUUACAGUUGCUGCUCUCAGCCAGUUAAUCCCAAUUCCUUAUUGGCAAAACGGGGAUAAUAACAGCACCUCCUUUACAGAGUUACAUGAAUAUCAAAUGAUACGAUGUCUGAGAGACAGAGCACGAGCCAGGGAGGGGCAGACAGAGAGAGGGAGACAGAAUCUGAGCUGCUCACAGCCCAAUGCGGGGCUGGAACCCAUGAACUAUGAGAUCAUGACCUGAGCUGAAGUCAGACAUUCAACCAACGGAGCCACCUAAGUGCCUCUGUCAUUUGUAUUUUUUCUGCAAACUGUCCUUUAUCCCUCUUUCUGUUGGCAUACUCGAGUUUUGCUAAAGGAAGAGCUGGCUGUGUAUUAAAACUAACAAGAAUUGGUCUAUUGAA